rnacentral:rRNA from 1 species
GACGAACGCUGGCGGCGUGCUUAACACAUGCAAGUCGAACGGAAAGGCCCUGCUUUUGUGGGGUGCUCGAGUGGCGAACGGGUGAGUAACACGUGAGUAACCUGCCCUUGACUUUGGGAUAACUUCAGGAAACUGGGGCUAAUACCGGAUAGGAUCUCCUGCUGCAUGGUGGGGGUUGGAAAGUUUCGGCGGUUGGGGAUGGACUCGCGGGUUAUCAGCUUGUUGGUGGGGUAGUGGCGUACCAAGGCUUUGACGGGUAGCCGGCCUGAGAGGGUGGCCGGCGACCAUGCGACUACGAGACGCAGCAGACUGGUACGGGAGGCAGCAGUGGGGAGUCUUGCACAAUGGCGGGACGUGUGAUGCAGAAACGUCGCGUGCGGGAUGACGGCCUAUGAGGUGAGAACAACUGUCGCCUGAGACGUAGCGUGAGUGACGGUAAUGGAUCAAGAAGCAACGGCUAACUACGUG